GGUUAUUUGACCGAACGGCAAGGUACUGGACUGCAAAUCCAGUCAAUCGGGUUCGACUCCCGAAAUAACCU
rnacentral:tRNA from 1 species